rnacentral:lncRNA from 1 species
AUGGAAAUAUAGUGAAGGUAACGUCGAAUUGAUUCCACAUAAGAUUAGUGAAGCUGCUAAAACGGACACUUACGAAUUAUUACCGCUAAAGUCAAGAGAUUCGAGGUACAUACCUACACAUCUAUGUACACACCUAUGAAUUUGUCUACAACUUAUUUCAAAAAUAGAGCCACGAUAAAAAAGUGCAUAAUAUAUAUGAAAGAAACCUACUUAGUAACAAAGCACUGUUGCUUCCUUAUAAUGUAACACAAUCAUCUAAAAAUGUUUUCAAUUUAACGGAUUGCAUGCCAAAGAUAUAAAAAUCCGUUACGAAUAAAAUGAUAAAACCAAAGAAGCAAAUGUUAAUAGUUUCCAUAAAAUGGCAUAAUAAGACAAUAGGAGGCAGGAUAUGAAUAGGAUAUUGCAUAAUCAGAUAAACUUUCAUGAUUUUAAUAAUUACUAAAUGGUUACAAUAAUUAGUAGUCAUUAAUUUAAUAUACAGUGUAGCAAAAAGGUAGGUCAUAAAAUAAAUCACAUAUUCUGGGAC